CAAUAGCGUAUAUUAAAGCUGUUGCGGUUAAAAAGCUCGUAGUUGGAUUUCUGUCAAGGACAACUGGUCCGCCCUCCGGGUGAGCACAUAGUUUGGUCUUGGCAUCUUGCUGGAAGCUGUUGCUGCACUUGGCUGUGUGGCGCAGCGUCCAGCACUUCCACUUUGAGGAAAUUGGAGUGUUUCAAGCAGGCACAUGCCUUUGGACACAGUAGCAUGGAAUAAUUAGAUUGGGCUUUUGCUCCAAUUUGUCGGUUUCUGGAGCUGAGGUGAGAAUUAAUGGGGAUUGUUGGGGGCAUCCGAAUUUAGCCGUCAGAGGUGAAAUUCUUGGAUCUGCUAAAGACGGACAACUGCGAAAGCGUUUGCCCAGGAUGUUUUCAUUGA
rnacentral:rRNA from 1 species